rnacentral:rRNA from 1 species
UACGAAGGGGGCUAGCGUUGUUCGGAAUCACUGGGCGUAAAGGGCGCGUAGGCGGCUUGCCAAGUCGGACGUGAAAUCCCUCAGCUCAACUGAGGAAGUGCACCCGAAACUGGCGAGCUUGAGUACGAAAGAGGAUCGCGGAAUUCCCGGUGUAGAGGUGAAAUUCGUAGAUAUCGGGAGGAACACCGGUGGCGAAGGCGGCGAUCUGGGUCGAUACUGACGCUGAGGUGCGAAAGCGUGGGGAGCAAACAGG